rnacentral:lncRNA from 1 species
CACUCUUCCCCCGCGCUGUGUGUGUGUGUGCCUCUCUCUCCCCACCACUCCAUUAUCACUUUCUUUCUCUCUCUCAGAGAGAAGACAAUGCCUAUUUCUGGAGAUCCCUCGUCUUCUUCGACAACAAUCAGACACCAACCCAUGAACUUCCCACCAUUUCCCACCGCCGACGAGCCUCUAAUCCCCAAACCUAGCCGCAUCUAUAAAUCCGCCAUGUCUACCUUCUUCCUCUUACCUUACCAACACUUAGCCGCAUCUAUAAAUCCGCCAUGUCUACCUUCUUCCUCUUACCUUCAUCAUCCAACGAACCCAACAACAGAAGAAAGGGGAAGAAACCAAACCCUUUCACCCAAACGACGUCGUCCUUUCGCAGCCUCGGCUGCACCUCCUCCGCCUCUCAGCGAGUUUCCGUCCCGGCCGUGAUCCACUGCCCCCCCCCCGCCUCUCAGCGAGUUUCCGUCCCGGCCGUGAUCCGCUCCUCCGCGAAUUGGGACGCGAGUGAUGCCAAAAGUAAGAAGACGAAGAGCAAGGGCAGUAGCUACUGUGGCGGUGGCUCGGUUAAGAUCUUGAGCGAGGCUGAUAGAAGCGGUUGCGGUCCGGUUCCUGAUGUUUGGUGCGGACCCGGUGUCGGGUUUUCCACGGAUGCGGUGGUCUCCGGCACCGUCGAAUCGGAGCCUCCGAGAAGGAAUAUUCCGGCGAGACGCAAGAUCGAUGGAGAGGUCUAUUAUCACAAAGCUUCUGUCUUUUUAUUACACAAGUCUUGUCUUAAAACUCAAACUGUUACAUUCUUUGCAGGGCUCCUCUGUUCCUCCCCGGCGAUCUCAUAAUCAUGAAACUAGUCUUUACUUUGACUCUGAUAUGACAUCGAGGGAUGAACAGACGCAGACGCUUUUCUCUGAUAGAUAUCAUCGUCAUCUACGACAACCUUACCCUAAUGGACUCGACGAGGUAAGAGUGUGUCCUUGACUAUGUUUCACUUCAGGUCUUAAGGGUCUUUGUGUUUGUGUGCAUUGUUUUCAUUUAGUUGUUUUGUUUGUAGAUGAUGAUGAUACAGAAUGGUUUUGUAAUGGGAAGGAUGUUAAACUCUCACGAUCACUUCCGUGACUUGAGGCUCAACGUCGAUGGCAUGUCUUACGAGGUAAUGUUCCUUUCUUACAAGGAGUAUUUAACUCUUACGUAUUUAAAAAAAAAAAAAAGUUUUGUGUGUUGUUCUGUUGUGUUAAAAAACAGCAACUUCUGGAGCUUGGUGAUAGAAUUGGGUAUGUCGACACUGGACUUAAUGAAAAACAGAUCAAAACCUGUCUCUUGAGAGUCAACCCAUCUCACAAAGCUACAUCACUAGAAGAUAGAAAGUGCAGCAUCUGUCAAGUAAGUCCCUUAUGUGGUUUAAUUACUCAGAUUCACUCUCUUUUGUAACAACCCACGUUCAUGUGUUUGUUUGCCGACAGGAAGAGUAUGAGGGUAAGGACGAGGUAGGGAAGUUAAGAUGUGGGCACAAGUACCAUAUCCACUGUGCGAGACAAUGGCUGUUAAGGAAGAACUCUUGUCCCGUCUGUAAAACUAUGCCAUUUGCCUAAAGUCUUAGAUAGAUAGAUAUGUCUCCUCCUCUCCUUUGAUGAUGAUUUGCUAUUUUAUGUCUGAAAACAAAACUGGUUGAUGAAAGAUUUGUAAGGAACAGCAAAUGUUAUUACUUACCUAUGGAAGAAGUCACAGAGAGACAUUGUGAACCCCACAUUGCUUGUGGGUUAGAUCAAUCUUUUUGGUUUGGUGAUUAAGAGGUCGGCAACUACAAAAGUGUUGGGUAGAUCUAACAUUGUUAAAUCACAUGAAAAUGAUGAAACUGUUACGUGCAAGUAACAUCUAGAGUUAACUGCUUAAAUAAUGUGGUCAAUGCAAUGAUGCUAAUGUCCUAACGAAAUCUUCAAGGGCUCAUCAAUAUCUCAUACACAUGGUUUGAUUCACAACACUUCUUUAAUCUAUAGACUAUAGCACAAUUUUCUUACUUAGGUUUACUCGCGUCGCGACAUCUGAUGCAAGCUGUAAGGUCGAAAGAGGUAUUGAGCUAUAAGAAACUAAACCAAGGGAGAAGAGUUUCUAGUUUCUUACAACAUAAGAAUGCACUUGCUUUCAUUAGGAUCUGGCAAUAGAAUGAUGUGUUUAGCGACAUCUGAUGCAAGCGUCAGGCUUGGCAGUUGUAAGCGCCUCCGUAGGGUUCGAACCAACUCGAUGAGGCAAUGAGAGAAGGAAGAAGAUGAAGUUUGAGAUUGUUUUAUACUAUUGUGGAGUUUCAGCUAAUUUAGAAUAUCUUCCACUGUAGCACGAAGAGUGAUUGAAUCUAGCGAUUCCUCUGUUAUUACCUCCUAUGAGUCAACAAUGUCAACUCGUCGCAGAUUGCAAGCGGCAGAGGAAGGAUGGUUGUUGAUUCACCGGUCUACUGAGAGAGACAGCAAAUGGAGUAUGAGGAAAGAGGGAGAGCCGAGAGGAAAUGAUCGCCAAAGAUGCUCUAAAGUCACUUGGUUAGAAGACGAUGAUGCUUACGGAAUAAAAAAAUGAAUGAAGCGAUGAGAUCCUGCCUGAUCUAGUCAAAGUAUGUCGUUAAAAAGUCAAACUUCUUUGUUCUGGUUUGUUGCCACGAGGGAAAUAUUGUUACUAUAAUAAAAGCAAAACAAAAUUAAAUUGAAAAGAAAAAAAAGAAAAACAGAACAGAAGAGAGAGGAGAAAACGCAAUUGGUUACGAAUAUUUUAAAAAAAAGAAACAAAACAAAUAUGGCCUUUGGGUGUUUGCCACAAAACACCUUAGGAUUUGUUGCCCCCUUCCUUCCCAAUUUUGCAGCCAUUUUUUACUCUUCCACCUGAACAACAGGAGACCAAUCAAGAAGAACCCUAACUUUUUCUUCAGGGACUUGCAAUUGCGAAAGGUUUCAUCUUUUUUUCGAAUAUGGGCGGGGGCGAUCUCCACAUGUCCGUAGCAGACAUCAGGUGAGGGAACACUGGAUUCAGUUUCAUUGAUUUGCAUUCCAAUUUCUCCUUUUCAUGCUGUCAAGCUUUAAGGUUUAUGCGAGGUGAAAAAGUUUCGAACUUUCAAUACGCAGAGAUGAUUCUGGGUUGAAUUUAUACCUGCCCAGAUCGAUUUUUCUUACCAAAAGUGGACCCUUUGAUCUUUGUUUAUGUUUGCUUAAGGUUAAAGGCUGUUUCUUUACUGAUUUGCUAGGAUGGAGAAUGAGCCUGAUGACGAUAAUGUUGCGGAGAUUGACGUGAGCGAUGAAGAGAUUGAUGCGGAAGACCUUGAGAGACGGAUGUGGAAGGAUCGCGUCAGGCUCAAAAGAAUCAAAGAACGAACUAAAAUCGAUUCGUCUCAAGCGAAGGAGACGCCUAAGAAAGUCUCUGAACAAGCGCAGAGGAAGAAAAUGUCUAGAGCGCAAGACGGUAUACUCAAGUACAUGUUGAAGCUCAUGGAAGUCUGCAAAGUCCGCGGCUUCGUCUACGGCAUCAUACCCGAGAAGGGGAAGCCUGUGAGCGGCUCCUCCGACAAUAUAAGAGCAUUCGUCUACGGCAUCAUACCCGAGAAGGGGAAGCCUGUGAGCGGCUCCUCUGACAAUAUAAGAGCUUGGUGGAAAGAGAAAGUGAAGUUUGAUAAGAACGGUCCUGCCGCGAUUGCUAAAUAUGAAGAGGAGUGUUUAGCCUUUGGGAAGUCAGAUGGAGAUAGAAACUCUCAGUUUGUUCUGCAAGAUUUGCAAGAUGCUACUUUAGGGUCUUUGUUGUCUUCUUUGAUGCAGCAUUGUGAUCCUCCGCAGAGGAAGUAUCCGUUGGAGAAAGGGACUCCUCCGCCUUGGUGGCCGAGUGGAGAUGAAGAGUGGUGGGUGAAGCUUGGACUGGGUAAAGGCCAGAGUCCUCCUUAUAAGAAGCCGCACGAUCUCAAGAAGAUGUGGAAAGUUGGGGUUUUGACGGCUGUGAUUAAUCAUAUGUCGCCUGAUAUUGCGAAGAUUAAGAGGCAUGUUCGUCAGUCUAAGUGUUUGCAGGAUAAGAUGACUGCUAAAGAGAGCGCGAUUUGGUUGGCGGUUUUGAACCAGGAGGAGUCUCUUAUCCCGCAGCCUAGCAGUGAUAAUGGAGCUUCUAAUGUAACCGAGACACACCGGAGAGGUAAUAACGCUGAGAGGAGGAGAACUGUGAUCAAUAGUGAUAGUGACUAUGAUGUUGAUGGGAGGGAAGAGGCUUCAGGUUCAGUUUCGUCUAAAGACAAUAGAAGAAAACAAACUCAAAAAGAACAACCAGCAGCCACUUCACAGACAGUAAGAGAUCAAGAUAAAUCAGAGAAACACCGGAGAAGGAAAAGACCUAGAAGAACUGUCACUCAACAAGAGGAAGAACAGCCAGAAACUGAACAAAGAAUUGUAUUACCUGAUAUGAAUCAUGUUGAUGCUCCUCUGCUAGAAUAUAAUAUCAACGGUACUACUCAUCACCAAGAGGAAGGUGUUUUAGAACCAAACAUCGCCUUAGGACCAGAGGAGAACAGUCUGGAAAUGGUGAUCCCUGAGUUUGAUAACAACUAUACUUAUCUUCCUCCUGUCAGUGGACAAGCUAUGAUACCUGUAGAGGAAAGGCCAAUGCUUUACGGACCAAACACUAACCAGGAGUUGCAGUUUGGGUCAGGUUAUAACUUUUAUAAUCCCUCUGCAGUGUUUGUGCACAAUCAGGAAGAAGACCUUAUCCAUACACAGAUAGAAAUGAACCCACAAGCACCGCCUCAUAACGGUGGAUUCGAGGCUCCAGGAGGAGUACUUCAACCCCAUAAUUUACUUGGGAAUGAAGACAGCGUCACAGGAAGAGAUUUGCCACCUCAGUUUCAGAGCGAUCAAGAUAAACUCUUGGACAGUAACAUUCUAUCUCCAUUCAGUGACUUGGCGUUUGAUAGCAACACCUUUUACUCUGGGUUUGAUUCCUAUGGUGUUGAUGAUCACUUGUCAUGGUUUGGAGCUUAGUUUCUUUACAUUUUUUGUUGGGAGGUUACAUGGUAAGUUUGUGUCACAUAUCUUAUUUAUUGUACUCUUUGUUUAUCAGUUUUCAUGAAUUGUCUUAAAUAUUUCUUUUACUGGGUAUGUUGCAGGUUCAAAGGAACAUGGCAAUAGUCUGACUCGUACAGUUACAUUCUCUACUGCUGAUCUUAGAUUUGUUAAGAGAAACAAUUGUUUUCCUUAUGAAUAAUUUGGCAGACACUUCUGCUUGAAAGCAGUGAGUGUGUCUUUUGUAAAUUAGCCCUGUGAAUGAUGAUCUUUUUGUCUGUUCAAGUUUCAUCUUCAUAUUUUCAUGUACUAUCUGAAUUUGAAUCUCUCUGUGUUUUUUGAAGGGUAAGUAUGAACUUGAUGAUGAGGUCUUUGACCUUAACCUUCACAUGCUUUGCAAAGAUGGUUGAUAGAAAACUUGUCCACCGAAGCUUUGUUAUUAAAAAAGACCAUAAAUUUCCAUGUGGGAAACAUGGAAUAAAGCUACAUCACUUCACCUAACUAUUAGCUUUUGCUGCUCUGCGCUUCUCUUCUUAGUAUGUUAGGUGACCCUCACGUCUACAAAGCUAACCAACUCUGACCCUAAAUCCUUGCGGCUAUUGGUGUUGCCUCCUAGAUUCAAGAACAAACAUGGCAAUUCCAAAUCAUACAUCCCAUUGAACUUAUAGUAUACUCAAUUUGAAAUCCACUGAAAUGAGUCUCAGCAAGUCUUGAUGAUAAGACACACCUCACGGCUUCCACAACUUCGUAGUGCAAUCUUCACUAUAGGUAGCGAUAAGGUGUCUAUGUGGGUGGUGUGCUACGCCUAUCACAUCUUUCUCAUGCACCUCCAAUAAACAUAAAACUUUUCAGACACCCAAGUCUAAAUGCAGCAUACAUAUCAGACGAUGUAUAAACACAUGAAGCUUCACUACUCUAGUAGGUUAAAUGUUAUAAACUUACCAUCAUAAAAUGCUCAAGUCCACCGGUUUGAUAGCUGAAGCAGUACAAUUUCCUGCAAGUUAGCGCAUACCAGUGUUAGGAGCAUCAAAAGAAAUGAACCUUCAGACCAUCCUUUAAAAUUUUUGUAAAUAACAAAUUUGAUGAGAGGGUAUAGUAGUAAUACUUGUCUUCACCAAUGCAGUAUAUCCAAUCUCCUUUUGUAGGUACACAUGCUGCUAAAAAAUCUCCUCCUUCCCUCUUACCGGAUGAGAAACUCUUCACAACCUGCAAAAGGACUAAAAUAAUAAACAUGUGAACUGACUAAGACUUGCCGUGUCACAGAUUACACUGGUUCUCGAAAUUCUCCUGUCCUUGCGGUGUCAUGAUGUAUAUAGAUGAUGAUGUUGGUUUUGUUGACAUAUUAAAACGGCUGACAAUUUUUUUUUAAAAAGAAAACGAUAUGAAGUAGCAUGCAGAGUUCAUUAGAUGCCCACCUUGAUGUUGUUGUCACUUUAGAGCCUGGCCUACCGAAGCCAUUAACCGUGAAGGUGGUACCACAGUAACCUCGGCAGCAACAGCUAACAGAAGAGAAAACCAAUUAGAUAAUCUUGAGUAAAUACAGAGCAAGAGAAAAACAAAUAUUCAUAACCAUUUAACAGGACAAAAGUUCUCUCAUAUAGUCAUGUCACAAAAUAUUUCUAGAACAUCACUUAGUUCCUUCAGGUGAUUAAUCCCAAAACACCUUACUAAGAAAAACAAGUGAAGAUAGAGUCUUCACUUAAAAAAGAGAGAAGAAAUGGGCCAACCUUGAGCAAUCUGUGCACGUUUUCUUUCUUUAGUCGAGUUUCCCCAUAAGCCUAAGAUACAAUUGCAAUAUCGUAAUAUCAGCGAAAUACGAUUUUCAAAUACACAAGGAAAUAAUAACAUGAGAGCAACCGCUCUCUAUGCAUAACAUGAACAAGGACUAGGACACAAAGCACCUCAACAGACCAGACAGAAAAGUCAAAUCCAUCAACAUGCAAAGAGGGAGUUGAUAAGUGGAAAGAAGCUUUUGUACUAACAAACACGGAACAUGUGUUAUAGUUUAGUAACCUUAUCUACAAACAACUUCAUAUCUAAAGGAUGCUAAGCUCCUACUUAAGACUUGAACAAAACAGAGUACAGAAAAGCAAACGAUAAAAACAACUUCAUAUCUAAAGGAUGCUAAGCUCCUACUUAAGACUUGAACAAAAUAGAGUACAGAAAAGCAAACGAUAUAUAUAUAUAAUUUCUAGUUGAUAUACCAUCAACAUUGGGUAAAAGCGCUGAACAGUAGCGGACAACCAUGCUUAGGUGACAUAACAAGCACAUAAGAAACACUCAACAAUAACAUGAUACUGAAAAGUCAAGUACAUAGCUUGCCAUACCUCAUGCGGAUCAAAAUAGCUUCUGACAAGAAGAUGCUCCAUCCGCGCAAAUACCUUUCAGUUGCUCCUGCUUCAUAACACCCAUCACCUGAGUUUGCCUCAAGAUAGCUCGGGCAGUGUCCAACUCUCGAAGUUCUAUCAUCUCCAUUACAAUCUGAAACCGAAUGACAGAUGAUGCUUGAACAAAAACUUACAAUGAAAAAUCACUACUUUAUACACUUGAUACAAAUUCAAAAGAGAAAGAGAAAGAAACAAACCUGUUCAUAAAGGUCUUCUAAUUUAUUCCUGGGAAGCUUGAGCUGAGAGUCUUGAGGAAGAACCGAGUCCCAUCUUCCACUAUUAAUAUCAUAAACAAAGGCCUCGACGCUGUCUACUGUGUUUAAAGAAACCUGACACUCGCUAUGUAAUGUCUGGAACGUUUGAUUCAAGGAGUUCUCUUUGCAGAAACUGAAGCACAAUCUUUAUUACACUGACAUAAUAAAACACAACAUAGCUCUCUGUCAGGGACACAGUAAAAAAUAGUUAAUAGUACUCUCUCAUGGGAUAAUUCAAUAUCAUCAUUAACUAAAAAAGAGAGUAGCUUUCGACAGAACCAUGCUUAACAGAAGUUCUGGGUAGAUUAAAAAUCAGAACUUUAGGUAUAUGGAGAGUAUGGAACAAAAGGAAAAUGGGUUACGGUAGAAGAAUGAAAUAAAAGUCUUACUCUCGAGCUUCGAUUUUGAGCGCCAUAGUCAGUGGUUUUGUGUGUUUCGCCGGAGCUCCGACGUGAAGGAGGCAAGAGUUGAGCAGACAAACGCAAUGGGGUUUUGAAUUCCAGUUAACGAUAAAAAGAAGAAUUGGCGGGUCAAAAUUAAAUAUUUUAAAAACCUUGGGGCCUAAUUUGUAAUUUUCUUAAACCUUUUUAUAAAAAGAAUUGUUACCUACACUUUUUACACCCUCUAGUCUAGUUUAAAGAGAAAGACUACUACUAUCAAUACAGAAACACGUUCUUCAACUCUAGCUAGAGUCAAUGGUCUUUUUACCAUCAUCUUAUUGCUCUCAGUUGGAUUUUACCUCGAUGCCUUGAGAUGUAUAUACUGACUGAAGCUGAGAAAGUCUUUGUUCCGAGUGAAGGCUUCUCUCCUUCCGGAUAUCCCAUGGAGAUAGUCGUCCCCUCUAAACUGAGACGAGUUCGAAUUAGAAUCAGUUCCAGAACAUCUCGGUCUCUUUCUCUUAUCAUGAGCUUUGAUGUUACAUCUGAUAAGGUAGGCAAAUUAUUUUGUGACCAUUCUUUUUACUGUGGGACGGUAUCACGACCAGGUGCCUUAACCGUCUACCUCUUACCACUCACAUGGACGCUCCAACCACUAUGCUUUUAAAUUCGACAAGCCUAAGUUUUCGGUGUCCCCUCAAAGUCCUUCCAAUUCUAUGAGAAAAGUCUAUUUUAUAUAUUUCUUGGUACUCUCAAAUGAACAACAAGUUGAUAUGGCCGAGUUGGUCUAAGGCGCAGGAUUAAGGUUCCUGUCCGAAAGGGCGUGGGUUCAAAUACCACUGUCAACAAAUUAUUUUUUGGGUGUGUUUUUAAUACGCUGACAUGUGACACUGUGACAGUGUGGCUCCGCCCGUUAUUUCAUUAGUUGUCUUUUUUUCUUCUUUUUUUUUAAUUGCUGUCCCUUUGGAAGGUACCGAGUCUAGUGACUAGUGAGCAAUAUUGUUGCCUGAAGUAAAUAUCUAUGCUGAAGUUGUGGCGCUGAGAUUAAAUGUAACGGAAGGACCAUUAGGUUUGUUAAUCACACACUUCCAAUAGAGGCAUCUAGCGGAACAGAAGAGAUACAUUGGAAGGUCGAGAACCAACAAUUCGAUAUCUAUUAGUGUCACAAUUGUCAAAUGGAUCUUCUGAAAAUAUUUUUGUUUAUUCAAGUAUAGGUAAUUCACAUUUGCUUAUUUUGGUUCAACAUGGUUAAUGUUAGUGUCAAAUAUAAUAGAUGGUUCAUGGAACAUUUUGAUCAAAUUUUCAUGAUAAAAUUCAAUGAUUCAACAAACGUGAGGGAGGAGUAAAACGUUUAUUAAUGGAGGCAGUCGCAGGCUAUAAAUGUAAAUGUAAUUUUCACCAUUUUAUGUGCAUUACAAUCUUUUUUUUUUGAGUUAUGGAAUUUUUUUUGCAUUAUAAAUUUUCACCAUUUUAUGUGCAUUACAAUCUUUUUUUUUUGAGUUAUGGAAUUUUUUUUGCAUUAUAAAUUUUCACCAUUUUAUGUGCAUUACAAUCUUUUUUUGAUUGAGACUAUGGUUCUGUUACACUUGUGUGUUCUUUGACUUGCAGCAUACGAGUCUCCAACGAGUUAGGAGCAGGGAAUCCACAAGUGGCAAAACUGGCUGUAUAUGUCAUUGUAGGCAUAGCAGUUGCCCAAGGUAUCGUGGUGGUAACGGUUUUGUUGUCGGUUCUAAAGGUCCUAGGCCGAGCUUUUAGCAGUGACCCGAAAAUCAUCUCUUACGCCGCAUCUAUGAUACCUAUUGUCGCAUGUGGAAACUUUCUUGAUGGUCUCCAAUGCGUUCUCUCAGGUUCUUGUACACUCAAUCAUAUGCUCUGGAAUUUAAAAAAAAAAGAUUGGUUUUGGUUCCUCCUUGCUUAUAUAUGUCCGGUUUAUCCUGGUUUGGUUUUUGGUUUAGGGGUUGCUAGAGGAUGUGGAUGGCAAAAAAUUGGAGCGUGUGUAAAUCUUGGUUCGUACUAUCUUGUUGGAGUUCCGUUAGGGUUAUUACUUGGAUUCCAUUUCCACAUUGGUGGUCGGGUAAUAAUCUUUAAACUUAGCCAAGACUAAUUUUUAUAGAAACUAUAACAUGUGUGAUGCUAUGUCAUUUGUGUAGGGGCUUUGGCUUGGAAUUUUUUUUCUAAUUCUUUUUUUAAGUGCUUUGUCUUUCCUUGGUCACUAUAUUCACAAACUGGGAUAAAGAGGUAGGUUUGUUUUUAACUUCUAAAGAGAUUGAUGUUCAGUUUUAUGUAUAAGCGAAUUUGAAACUACGUCUGAUGUGAUUCUGCUUGCUUCUUGUUUUAAUACGUAUAGGCAAAGAAAGCUACAAAGAGAGUUGGGUCUUCAGAUGGCCAAGAUGAUAAUGUCGAACAAUCAAUUCCAAAGUGAAGAAAAGCAUUGGGUUUGCAAAUGAGCAUAUCUUUUAACGUUGAUAGUGAAUAAUGAGUAUUUGAUUCUUGUAGAGUUCUUUAUGAGACAAUAGUCCAUAUAUGCUACUAAGUCAGGGGCUAAGCCAUUAAGACCCAAAUAACAAUUCCCUUGAAGUUUAUACGACCAAAAAUUUCGUAGGCCCAUUAUUUAAGGAAAUAUACACCCCAACUAUCGUUUUUCUUAUAAGAACAGCCCAAGCAUCAUUUGGGACCAUGUUUGAACGAUCAAAUAAUUGAGCUAUUCGAAAAAAAGUAAAAAGAAACUAUUUAUGUGCUUGACAUUUGAGUUUUUUUUUUUUGUAUUUUAACCACAAUCAUAAAAUCAAUUUUGGAAUUUGCAUGGUCAUGUAUUGGUUUGUAAGUGUUUUCCUUGUACUAAUAUGACAACAUUUUACCAAACUCAACCCUAUUUACACGGUGGGUAAAAAGUUCAAAAUAAGUUAAAACGUCGGCAUGAAUUGUGAUAGAGACCAGACUCUUUGUGACUUGUGAGGUAAUAAUACGACAAGGUCCUUCGUCCUUGUAAUAAAUCUAGCCAUAGAUUCUCAUGUAGGGUAAUACUCUUCUGUUUUGGCGCCCACAUCAUCUGACAUGAUCUUGACCGCACAUAAAUAAAACUGUUUCAGUAUCUCGUGUUUUUACUUGGAAUUGUAUUAGGGUUAACAGUUAACGAUUACGUUUAGACAACGAGAACACCUUUGUACAGUUUAAAACAAAAUGGUAGGCCUGAUACAAUCAAUUUCAAAGUUAGGUCUUGAAAAUGUAGUGGACUAGUGGUUGGAAAGAACAAUAAUUUAUGGUAAAAUGAUAAAUCUUGAAGGAAGAGAGGAGCACAAAAGCCAAGAGGGACGCAUGUGACGCGUAGGGGAACUAUACACUAAACAAUGUCAGAUUCUUCCUAUGUCUUUUCAGAUGCUCCCACCUGUUUUUUUCCCCUAUUUUCAUUUUAUUAUAUUUUUCUUCUACAACGAAUACUUCUAUAAUUACAACUCUCUCUAUCCACCACUUCUCCCAAAACUUGACUUAUCUUCUCUUUCUCUCCUCUCUAAUAAAUCUGAUUAUAGUUAGUUAGGGUUCAUCAUCUUUGAUUUCUAGGGUUCUUUCUAUUGUCUCUAACAGAGGCUUAUGCUUGUGUUGUUUAGAUCAUGUUAUUUAAGGUUUAUUGAGUCUACAUAGUUCCUCAGAUCAGAUCUAUAUCUUAGAUGGUUAUUGAUUUGACAAGCAUCUUUGUUUCUCGAUAGAUCUUGGCCUUCCAAAACGAAUUUCCCGAGAACAAAGAAGUAGGGCUCCUUAUAGUUCAAACGAGAGUUCAGAAGGGUAAAGAAAAGCUGCUAAGCUAUGAAUCCCAUAAGCCCUAAUCCUUAUUUAUAAAAAGGAUUUGGUUAUAUGGCUUACAUAUCUCAGGAGCUUUAACUUGCCCUUUAAUUGCUUUUACUCUUCUUUGGAUUGAAGGGAGCUCUACAUCUUCUUUCACUUUACGCAAAUUUAUUUUUGUACUGUAAUGAAUUCAUUGCUAAUUUUUCUUUUUUUUCUUUUUCUUUUUGCAGUGACAUUUCUGAAGGAGUAUUUCUAUGGUGAUGGUUUAUGUAUGCUGUGGCGUGGAAUUGAUUUUCUUGCUUGUCUGUAAUUAGGGUUUAUGUAAAUGUGUCUGUAAUAUGCGAAGAUCCAAAUUUAUAUUUCAACUAAUGCAAUUACUUUCUGUUUGUGAUUUUAAAUUCCCUGUUCAAUAUUACUACUCAAUUGUUGCGAAAACAAUCUCUUCCGUAUCAGAUCAGAUAUUUGGUAUCAUAGGUACUCCUUAAUUUUAUUUUGAGAAUCAUACCAUUUUUGUAUGACUGUUGACUGUGUAAGAAGACUUCAAAAAAAAAAAUAUUACAGACAAAUUCAUUUAUUGAAAAUUUUAGAUUAACCAAAAAAAUUUAUGCUCCUCCUUUAGUACAGUUCAGUGUUGGAAUGUGAGGAACAGCCAAGUUCGAAGUGUAUUUGAGUUAAUUGAACAGUAUUUUUCUUUACAGUCAUUUCACAUUGUUAUUUAAUUGUAAGGUAAGGUUUCUCGAAGAUAUGGACAGAGCCCUUUUUUAUCGACAUAUUCACCAACGCAAGUUUAAAUUCAUGCCCAUCCAAAAGGCCCAACAUUAAGGCUCAAAUAUCAGCCCCCUGAUUUGCUCCAUAAUUAUCUCACCAUCGAAAUACUUUCCUUCAUGCAUGAUCAGUUGCUCGCAACGACGUGGUCACGGCCUUCGGCCCAUCGCCACACCUAUAUUCUAUUAUGCUGACACUUAUAUACUGCACUAACUUGUACUGGAGUGCAGACGGAAGCACACUGUUCAAUGGAUAGACAAACGGGUGUGAUUAGAGUCUGGUCAUUGGUCGUUACUAAAUGAUUAUAUUAAAUUAUUUUAAAAUACAUCUAUGUUGUGGUUAAAAAGAUAGCAUAUCUUAUUUCACGAAGAACUAAUUAACCGUAUUUUAAAUCAGUAGUUAAACCUUUUUAUACAUUAAUUCUGCUAAAUGUUUAAAAAAGAAAAUUUAGGUUCACCGAAUUCACCUCCCCUCUUAUUACCAAUCAAAAUACCACAUAGAUUAAUAAUAAAAUACAUUUUUUUUUUUUAAAAAAAAUCUAAAAUAAUUGAAAAAAAAUAAAGACGCUCAUUUUAAUGACGCUUACGCCACUAACUAAACCCUAAAUCUUAAAUUCUAAACCCUAAACCUUAAAUCUAAACCCAAACCCUAAAUUCUAAAUCCAAACUCUAAACCCUAAACCCUAAACCCAAACCCUAUAUCUUAAAUCUAAACCCUAAACCCAAACCGUAAACUCUAAACCCAAACCCUAGACCUUAAACUCAAACCCUAGAUCCUAAACCCAAACCUAGACUCUAAAUCCAAAUCUUAAACCCUAAAAAAACAUCAUCAACAUUAACCCAAACCUUUACGAUAUAGGAUUUGGGUUUAGGAUUUACGAUUUGAAUUUAGGGUGUAGGGAUUAGGUUUGGAUAUAUGGUUUGAGUUUAGAGUCUAUAAUUUGGGUUUAGGAUNNNNNNNNNNNNNNNNNNNNNNNNNNNNNNNNNNNNNNNNNNNNNNNNNNNNNNNNNNNNNNNNNNNNNNNNNNNNNNNNNNNNNNNNNNNNNNNNNNNNGCCUGGUUCGGCGGUCCCAUUGGGCGCUCUUGGUUGCUUGUGUUCAGCCACGCAUCAUGCCAUACCUGAAUAGACUGGCCAUUCCCCACUAGCCAUCCCAAGUUUUUAAUGAGUAAAUCUCGGCCGAGGAGGACACUUCUCCAGCCGUGGGACAUUGUAGAAGUUGGGGAGGCGAGGAGUAUGUUAUUAUUGUCAGGACAAUACUUCCCCAUGAGUACUCGACUGAGAAGGCUAUCUGGGUUUUGUAAAAGGCGCCAGCUUGUUUUCGCAAGCAGAGCGGUGUUGAAGGUUUGAAAAUCUCGGACUCCCAGUCCUCCCAGUGCCUUCGGUUUAGCCAUCGACGUCCACGAAACCCAUGCCAUUUUCUUUGUGUGUUCAUUGUUGUCCUACCAAAAUCGUGUAACUGCUGAUUGGAUUCUGCUGCAGAGGGAGACUGGUAAGGCAAAGUAGGACAUAGAGUAAGAAGGAACUGCCGAGAGAACACUUUGAAGCAUGACUAGUUUCCCGGCUGAGGAGAGAAACUUUGUGGAGAAACUUCAAGCCUUUUGUUUGAUCCGAUCGACAAUAGAGGAAAAGAGAUCCCGCUUCUUCCGGCCAAAAGCCUCUGGUAGCCCUAGAUAUUUCCCGGUGUCGCCCUCUUUAUGUAUUUGUAGCUCAUCUCUAACCAUUCGCUUCAGGUCCGGCGGUGACUUCCGUGAGAAGGUGACUGCAGAUUUAUCUUUGUUUAUGGACUGGCCAGAUGCUUCCUCAUAUUUGGCUAAGAUAGUCUUGAGUGCUGUACAAUUUUCCCGGUUUGAUUCGAGGAAAAACAUUGUAUCAUCCGAAAAAAGGAGAUGGUUGAUCCUAGGGCAUGUCCUAGCCACACGCAAUCCUCUGAGAGAACCGUCCUCUUGCGCCCUGUUACAUAAUCCCGAGAGGACCUCGCUACACAUAAUGAAAAUGUAGGGGGAAAGAGGGUCUCCUUGACGGAUACCUCGACUCGGUACUACCUUCCCUCUAGGCAAGCCGUUAAUAAGGAAGGAGUACGUAACAGAUGUGAUGCACUACAUUAUACAGUCCACAAGUUUUUGGUGGAAUCCCAACCGAAGUAACACAAGAGAAAUGAAUUCCCAUUCUAGGCGAUCAUAUGCCUUACUCAUAUCCGUUUUGACAGCCAUAGCACAACGUUGUUCCGCCUUUGAAGUUUUGAGGUAAUGAAGAACCUCGUGGGUUAUCAGCACAUUAUCCCCGAUUGCUCGGCCCGGUACGAAGACUGAUUGGUUUUCAGAGAUGAGCUUUCCCAGCAGGGGCUGGAUUCCUCGCGUGAGGAGCUUAGAAGAAAUCUUGUAGUACACAUUACACAGCGCUAUGGGGCGAUAAUCUGAUACCUUCUGCGGAUUUGUAAUCUUGGGAAUAAGCCGGAUAUGUGUGUCGUUGAUGCUUUCUGGGAGGGAUUGUCCAUCGAAAACCCCCUGCACUUCGUGAAUAAUAUCCGGUCCUAUGUUCUCCCAGUGGGUAUGGAAGAAGCCCGCCGAAAAUCCGUCUGGUCCUGGCGCUUUGUCCGCAUUGAUAGAAAAGCACGCUUCGCGGAUUUCCCAGGCAGUUGGGAUUGCUGUAAGGAGAGAGUUCUCUUCGUCGGACACUAUCGGUCGGAGCGCUUGCCUGACUGUCUCUUCUCUUUCUCCCGGGCAGGCGGAGAAAAGCUUUUGGAAAUAGGAGUCGACCACUUGCACUAUUUCAUUUUCUUUAUGCACCAUUUGUCCGUCCUCUCCCUCUAACACUGAGAAGGCAUUUGCGCAUUUGCGGGCUUUGGUGAUAGCGUGAAAAUAGCCAGUGUUUCUGUCUCCGAGCUUCAGCCAUAGAAGGCGGCUGCGCUGCCUCCAAUACUCUUCCUCGGCCAGGUAUGCAACAUUGAGCUUCUCGGCAAUGCUUUGGAUAAGAGAAGUAUCAUUUACUGGACUUGCUAGUGCCACAUCUAGCUCUCGUUUCUUCUGUUCGAUGGUUGCUUGACUAUUUCUCUGCUGGGUUUUAUUCCAUGCCGAAAUUGCACUCCGCGUAGAAGCAAGCUUAGCGCUCACCGCAGUAACUUGCGUAUCACGCCAUGUAUCUGAGAUUACUUUCUUGGCUUCCUCGUUUUUGCAGAGACGACGAUCAUAGCGGAAAAGACCACGGCGUCUUCCCACUCCAUUGUCGAAAAAGACAGCAGGGGUUUAUGAUCAGACGUCAAGUCAACCUCCAAGUAUUGGCAUCUAGCUGAGGGAAAUCGCUCUGCCCAAAGGGUAUUAGAUGCUGCCCUGUCCAGCCUGCAGCGUACUAAAUGGUCUCCUCGUUUGCCUCUCCAAGAAAGCGGGUCACCCGAGUGUUGAAGAUCGAACAAAUCGCCUUCGGAGAAGAAGGUUCGGAGGUCAGUGAAAGAUCCUUCCGUGCGGUCCGGUCCUCCUUCCUUCUCAACAUUGCAUAGCAAAUCAUUAAAAUCUCCGGUAAUGAACCAAGCAUCCUCACGCAUAAGGUAUUUGGAGACUAGUUGAUCCCACAAGGAAUUUCUCAGGUUCCUGUCUGUGCUAGCAUGAACAAAGGAUGAAUAAAACUUUUUCCCUUCAAAUUCAAUGAGCGUGUCGAUUACAUGAGCACUAGAAUCUAGUAUUUGAAGGUUUAGCUCCUGCUUCCAGAAUAAGCCAAGUCCACCAGCUCCGUGUCCGGUGGGAGAAACCAGAUGGUGGCAAUCGUAUCGGAGGUGCUGUAGUUUCUUGAGCACCACUUCGUCGGGGUUUUUUUACUCCAUUAUGAAGAUGAUAUCCGGUAGAAACUUUUUGGAUACCUCUUUCAAUCUUCGAACUGUCUGGGGAUUCCCCAACCCUUGACAGUUCCAGCUCAAUAUCACUAAGGAACGGGGUUGGAUGGAACCCGAAAAUCCAUCCUUCGUCUCGCAGCUGGUGGGAUAAUAUGAGCUAUCGGGAGAUUUUCCGAGGAGGUUGGAGUAGCUGGGCGUCUGGUAGAUCGUGGAGUCCCUCUUCUAUUCUUAGUUACUCUGACCACUCUCCUCGGUCGUACUGUCUCAGUUGCUGGUUUGGUUCUCCCCGAUGGGGGUUUGUCAUGGGGAGCUUUUCUCUUUCGAGAGGAAGAUUCCGGCGCUGGAAGGAUACUUGGAGUCACUCUUUGUUUACCUGGGGGCCUUCCCGGUUUUCUCUUUAUUGGCAUCGAGGGUUCUUUUUCAGGUUGUGCUAUCACCAUCGUCGUAUCAGUGUUGACAGGUCCUAGUCGUGCAGCCAAAGGGACCCUAUCACUUUGCUCACCAACUUCAAGGUUACAGACUUGUUCAAGCUCCAUUUGGUCGUCAUUGACGGGGCCUAGUCUGGCGAAUAUAGGGGUACGCUCAGUUGGAUCAGACACUCUGUUAGUUGGGCCCAGCCUAGCAGAGAUGGGAAGUCUCUCCCGGGAAAUUGGAUCUGAUGUAAUCGGGACCGUCUCCUCUGAAGCUCGCGCCAAGUUUGCCUUUACUAUCUGAACCGCUGACUCCUCAAAAUCCCCUUGCGCCUCAGCUUGUCUCAUGCGUUCUUUGCGAGCUGCGCUCUCCGACGGGUCUGCACAAUUGGUAUAUUGCGUCAUGGCUUCUCUUAUUUCUCCUAUAGCAGCAUUGACAGCCUCUUGAGGUAGAGUCGAGAUACUCCUCCGAAGGGGAGUCCCCCUUACAGAUGGAUGUACUUUGUUUCUUGUGUCUGAACCAAUCUCACGAGGAGAGUAGUGAUGGUUCUGAGGAGUGAACAAAUCAUCAGCUUGGUUCUGCUCAAUAUUGUGUCGUCCUUUUGGCGACGAGUGUGAGUGGGAAUCCCCAUGAAAAGAUGCAGAAUUCCUCUGAGAAACUUCCUUAUAGGGUCCUCUCGAGGUAUGGUCUCUUGGGCGCCAUUCCUGGGCCUUUGAGAGUCGUCCCCUGUGGUACUGGUCCAGAUGAUUGCUACGCGAGAGGGAGGGUCCGUGGGAGUGGCUAGGAUACCGUCUCCCCUGAUCUCGAUCCACUCGUCUGAGGGGCUCUCGACGCCUUGAUUCUAUGAGAGAGUCUGCCCUUUUCGCAGGAGGGGCAGUGAUCAUAGAGUCUCUCGUCUUCCGUUCUUCAUUCUGAUCAGUAAUGAGGGCUCUCCUUUGUGCUUUAGCUAGCAGGCAGUCGCGUAGUUCGUGGUCUAAUUUAUUACACUUGGAGCAGUGCUUCUCGAGUCGUUCAUAAACUAGUGUGGCCAUCACCUCAUCUCCAUUUGGAUAUUCAAUAAUUGAGCUCUUGAUGAGGGGAAGUCUGCCAUUGAUAUGGACCUUCAUUCUUAUGGAUGUAGAGGUGAUUUCUGCCUUCUCACAGGUUCCAAUAUCUUCCCCUAUGUUGCGGAUCGUUUCUUCUCUCCAUAGAUGGAUUGGUAUACCUUGGACUUUGAUCCAAAAGGGGAUCAUAGAUGGGAAGUCGGGUGAGACAGUGGGCUCCCAUCGUUGGAGGAUUAUCAUCCACCGGGCAUAGUGGUACGGUUGUUUCUCAAGCACCGUCAUUAUAUCAGACUCUAAUUCAAAGUGAAAUUGGAACAUUCCUAGGCCGAGGUAUGAUCCUACCGGAGGGAUGUCGGCUUUCCAGUGUUCUGUGAAGAAGGGGUUAAGGGACCACACCUUUUGGACUGAUGGAUUGGUGACCCUUCCUACGAUAGUAAGGCCAUGUUUCUCUUUCAGGGCUGAAAUAUCUGGGUCUGAGACUCAGACUCUUGAUUUCCGAGGGGCUGGUAAGUGUUCCAGCGCCACUGCUUUACCCUUGUCGGAGGAAGAUAAUCUUCUUUGCAUUGCAGAGGUCGUUCAGGUUGGGAACCAAGGGUUACUGUUGUUCCGCUAAAGGCAAAAUCAGAGGCAGUCGCCUUCAAUAUAGAAAGACAGAGGACUCGUAGAGGAGGUUAGGGCUGGUGGUAAUUCUAUGGGAACAGGUAACCUUCAAGUCUUCUGAUAUCAAAACGGUGAGCACCAGUAGCCACUGGUUAAAGGAUGAGGAAACCCUGUAUCUUAAGAACUUAACGCCAAUGCUCUUGCAACAAUGGCAGAGCGGCAGAGCGGUUUACAGGUCGCCAUAUCAGUUUCGGGGAACGUACUCCAGUGAUCUUUCACGGCGGCGACGGUCCCUCCGACCUGGGUCGGGGGAAGAACCCGGUGGAAGAUGUCGCAUAGUAGGGAACGGACCAAUGGAUACUGCCACUUAAGGGAAUAAUUUGAAAAAGGUAUGGGAAUUGCAGUAGAUCUGACCCCAAAACAAGCAAAAACUGGCGGGUAAAGGGGUGAUAUCAGAAAGUCAAACAAACUAAGGACCUUUCUAGUAAAAAGUGCCUGGGAGAGAAUUUAUAUUUUUAAGAAACGCUAUAUUACAUUCAUAUUUGUAGACGUGUCUAAUUGUGAGAAUAAAUGAAGACUCUAACAUACAUUUAUAUAUCUACUAGGGUAAGGGCGGACAGAUGUAUAAAUAAUAUUAAUUUUGUAAGAGUAUUUAUAAAUGUAAAUAUAAUUUCCUAACAUUAAAUUUUACUAUUUCAUAAGUAACGGUUAACGGUUAGAUGAACCGCAGACACUCCAUAUACUGUGGCAUGUGUCUAUUGGCUAUAGGUGAAAACCAAAUCGUUCCUUCUUCGACCAUAAAACCAAUACUAUAAAUAAUUAAAUAUGAUUCAUGUCUCAUCUAAUCGAAAAAUGUAUCACGUUUUCAGCUCCAUAUUCUAAUUUGAAGAAGCAUGGUGGCUCUGAUACUGGUUUUAGCCAGACUUACCAUUACCAAGAUGGUCCUGUCCAGCGUCUCCUAAAAGUAAACGACUCUUGAACCUUGUAAAUAAGGCAGACUCCUCCUUGAACCCCACCACUUCAGAAGCGUAAGCAGAAGACUCUCGCAAGUGGCUGAUGUAUAUAUAAUUGGCAGUUCUGAUUACAAAUGCAACUAAACUAACCAAACUGGAAUACAACUGAUGCUGCACAGAUGCUGCACAGAGGAACCUUUUAUAGAAGGAGCUGACUUAAUAUUCUUACAUUUACUCGAAUAAUUACAUUGUAGUAAUACUGAGAAAAAACCUUACAUGAAUUUCAUCAACACAGUAAUGAGAGCAAAUAAUAUAACUGACUGCAGAUCAUUUUUUUUUGUAAGAAAGCAUGCAUUACAACUAUGAAAUGGUACGUUCCACCAAAAGGCAAAUCACAAAAAUGUUCAUGGGACUUUGCAUAUUUAGCCACAAACAUGUAUAUAUGUAUGUAGUAUACAUAUAUAGAUGAUCCAAACAAACAAUCUCUUUAUCAAAUACACUAACACUAAAGACGUACAUUUUAAGUCUUUUAUUUUGGUGAUUCUCAAAUGUGGGAUCCCAUAACUUCAUUAUCAUCAUCAUUAACGAAUGUUUUUUUUAUCAGCUUUAGUUUACUUUCUGCUUUCUCUUCUUAACCCGCUAUUUCAAAUUUAUUUGUGUGCUUGAUAUUAACAAAGUCAACAUCCAUGUGAAGUAAGCUAAAGAUUCCCACUAAUUGACAAAUAAUUUGGCUCUUUUUUAAUUUUUUUUUCAUCAGAUCAAUGAUAAUUUACUUGAUCAUCUUGUUGAUGUAAACAUGAACUAUUUUCCAGUGGAGAUCACUUGCAAAGGUAACAAAAGCAUUAGGCAAAAUAUCCAAGAAGUAAAACGUAAACUAAAUAAAAAAAUAAAUGAAAAAUCUUUACUACUGUUGGCAAACAAGUUUGAGACACAGCCUCUUGUGAGCCAUUAUUUGCUACCAGCUCCUAAGAAAUUCUCUUGUAUAAGUUCGCCACUGUGACUACUGUCUACUACUCGAACUUCCACUGCCACCACUAUUAAGUCAAUGCAUCCUUCAGAAGUAGUGAGUUCUUUACCUACUGGAGUAACUGAUGCAAUGUUCCAAACUUCCUUUAUAUACCUCACUUUCCAUUUUGCCACUCCUCUUAACACUGCACCAAAUACCCAAACAUUAGCUUUGAUCUCUUCAUAAAGUACCAAUCUGAGUUAAUCCCCGAAUCUAGCUUUACAUUUUCUUCAUCAAAAUAAAAACUUUAGCAAUGAUGAUUACAUUGUCAAGAAGUAUUAAGCAUGCCUCACAUAAAAUCAGCUCAUUUGAUUUUCUUUAUCAAAAUCGAAACUUUAUCAAAACCUAAAAUACAUUUUGAAGUUACUUUACAUGUGGCUUUGCCGGCAGUGAGUGUCAUGAUAUCUCUGGAAGUACAGAAGUAUAACAUAUAUGCCUAAUGCUCUUUCUUAGCUCCAAUCACUUCAGCAACCUGCAUUGACCGAGCGAAGGUCCGCCACAACGGUUUUAGCCAUUUGCUCAUCCUUCCCAUAGCUAGAAGACGCGGCGGUGGCUCCUGCGAUAUCAGCAACAGCUGCAUCCACACCAACUAAAGAGACAGCAGCGUGAAUCUGAGUUUUGUGUGCUCAAGUCUCCUCUUUCUUCUUCUUCUCCAGUGAACUGUGUUUGCAAGUCAAAAUUGUUGCACAGUAAAUCCUAUCUCUGGAAACAAUUCCUGCAAGCAGAAAAAGGUGAGAAUCUAUUGUUUCACUGAAGAAAAAAAUAAUGGUCAAAAUUUUAAUCAAACUCAUCUCUCUUAUAAAUAAUUAAAAUUUCAAUGAGUUCUCAAAUUUGAACAACCAAAGCUUAUUUACUCGCAUAGGAAACUCAAUGAUAUACAAAAGCCUUCAUUUGAACACAUUUAAAAAUUGGAGAAAACAUACGUGAGAGCUCACAAAUGGUCACGGACAUAGCCAUGGACAUGUUUCAAUCCACGACUCGUUGGGAUAUUAGAAGCCACGUUGCAGAUGACUUUUUGAGCUACAUAAUUUAAAUCAGAAACUGAGUAAAUCUUCUACUAAAAAAGAUUCACCACAUCUGAAAACAGAGUAAAGCUUGCUCAUAUCACAUAGUGUUUGAUCCGCUGGAACAUAAAAGUGAGGGAUCUUCCCUAUUCUUCAUAAACAGUAAAUGAAUUGUAUAUACUUCACUGACCGAGACAUAAUUUCAAGGGGGAGAGAUAUUCAUACCGGUUAAAGAGAAAUACAUGAACCAUACUUGCAGAUCUUUUAAUGUUAUGACUAGAUUUAAUUAAGAGGCUCUUUGUAAGGGUUAAGAGCAGACUCAAUAAACGGAUCAUAAAUUCAUAAGGUCACCGGAAAAAUAACAUCACUAUUAUCAGAAUCUCAAGAACAGACUGACCUUUCAAUCAAGCAAGAGCAUGUCGACAGACAUGAGUUUAGCGCCUAACAUUCCUCGCCUCCCAGAAACGAAGCAACCGAACUUCAAAUCGGAAAGGAAAACUUGUGAGCUAGCCAUUUUCCAGAAAAUAAAUGGAUUUAUUUGUUUGAAUAGAUUGGUAGGAUGGAGUCGAGAAUAGGGAUGCUAACCUUUUUAUAGUGAGAUUUCCACCGCCUUGAAAGAACGAAGCAGACAAUAAAUAUAGACCGUGGAUGAUGGAAUCAAAGAGGACUUUAAGAAUAUGAAUGUGAAACUGAUGAAACUAUGGGCCAGAGGAAGAAGAUGAAUGGAAACCCUAGAGCCUAUAUCGCUACGGCUGAGAACGAUGAGGGUUCAAUCCAUAAAAUAGAAAACGAAGCGUUUUGAUAAUGCUGAGUUUCUCUUAUUCAGGAUAGGCUUUACCAAGUUUUAUAAAAAAAAUCAUGUGCAAUCAAAAGCCCAAACGAAAUUUAAACUUGAAUAAAUGAAACGCAGAGUUUCAAUGAAGGGGACACGUGUCACUCCCAGAAUGCACGAAUUGAUGACGUGUCAUCACAGGAGGGUCACCAACAUCUUUUUAUAUAUAUAGAUUACAUUUAUUUGACUAUAUUUUUGACCUAAGAACCUACACUAAUAUAUAACAUGCAUCAAUAAAACUAGAAUUUGACUCACACAAUUGUACGGAUAUUAUUUUCAGUUGAUUAAAUUUAAAAAUAAUUAUUUAUUCAAAAUAUAUUUAAGAAUGGCUAUGCUUUUAAAAAUUAUAUGGUAUUAUUUGCUCAUAACUCAUUUGUCAUUUGAUAAACUGUUAGAAAGAAAAUUUUAGCAUAAUAUAACUCAGUUGUCAUUUGCUAAAUUUAUGGUUUUUAUUUAUAUUUUUUAUUAUUUAAUUAUAAUAUUUUCAUUUUAUAUUUGAAAGAUAAAUGAAUUUUCUUUCAAAUAAUAUUUUUGUAAAUGUAUUUUUUUAAAAAUAAUAAAUUUAAAAUAAUUUGAGUUUUCGUUUACAUCAAAACUUAUCAUAUUUUAGGAUAAUUUUAAUUUAAAAUGUAAUUUUCAUAUUUUUCAAACAAAUUCUAAAAAUAUUUUUUAAAUAUAUUGUUAUAAUUUUUAAAAAAAUAUUGAGUUGCAUUUCAAAUAAAAAAGGUAAAUAUAUUAAAAAUAUUCUAAUUAAAAUAUGUAAAUUUUAAUAUAGUUUUAAGGAAAUGGUCAAAAAAAAUUACACAUAAAAAAAAUCAUGAUUUUUGUUAACUGGGUGGAUCAUUAUUUAUAUGAUAUUGCACACGAAAAGAAAAAUUUCUGUUUUUACAAUUAUCUGAUUAACUCUAUAUACUCAUUUUUUUAUAUGAUAUCGCACAUUCGUAAAAGUAUAGAUAGUUUAAGAUGCAAAAAAAAAUAUUUAUUUAAUAAAUAUAAUAUGAACAAAUAUUACAAAUAAAUCAUUUAAUAAAAUAAAUAAUUAAAAAAUGAAAAUUCAUAUUCGCGCUGGCGUGUGGGUCAGGAUCUAGUGUAUAUUAUAUAGAGAUACAUAGAGUGGAUUGAAGUUGAGGAUCUGGCCAGGGGAUAUAUUAUACUAAUAUAGUAUGUAUGGAUAUAUGGACGCGGCAAUGUGUAAAUCACUUAGUUGUAUGAGUAUGAAGUAAAAUGCAGUUGGAUAUCUGUAUUCGCAUUGAAUGUUUGAUGAGCUAACUUCUUCUAAUGAAUUUGAUCCGUAAAGAAUUUCUAAUUAAUAUUCUAUCUUUAUAGUUAGCCGAGAAUCUUGAAUUAUAUUCUUCUCUCUUAACACUGAUUAGUGGGUUAGUUUUUAGUACCUUGCGAAAAGUUGUAUAUAUUCGGAAAUUUGAUAAUUCAUAUUCCCUGGAUUUUGUAACCUUAAUAAUAAUCCGCGCACUGUUUCGUAAAUAUAUUGUGCUUAAAUAUUAUAAACAAUAUACAUUUUGUUAUUAAUAACAUUUUUUACAUUUGAUUAGAGGUGGACAUUCGAGUACUAUUUGGUUUGAUUCAGAUCCUUGAAGGUUUAGUUCGGUUCGGAUCUUUGCGGAUUUGGUUUCGGUUUGGGUUCGGAUAACCUAUUUAAUUUUUUUUUCAAAAAUUAAAGUUCAUAUAUACUUUAAAUUUUUCAAAAUCUAAAAAGAAAAAUAAUAUAUAACAUAUAAAUUUGAAUAAUGUAUUCUAAAAUACUUAAACUUAACAUAAAAAUUGGUUUAGCUUAAAUAUUUGGUUAGGAAAUCAAUAGACAUUCUAAGUAUUUUAGGUAUUAUAAGUAUCGUUUAGCUAUUUUAAACAUGUAUUUAUAACUAUUUGUAUAUAUUUUCAAGUAUUUUGGACUACUUAAAAACGUCUUAUACAUUUUGUAUAUUUUUUAAAUAUUAAAUUUAAAAAUAAUUAAUAUAUUUAAGUAUAUAAAUCUUCGGUGUUUUGACGAAUAGAAAUGAGGUUAGGGUUAGGACAAUAAAUUUGUUGUGCAAUCCAUGUUUUCGCUAGGUGAUUUCAAUAACUUCUAAAUAAAAGCAGUUGUAUCGAUCUCUUGUAAGAUUUUCAAACAAUAUUAAUUAAUAAAAUCUUACACUUUCUAGAGUAAUCAAUUGUUUCUCAAUUAAUAUAUAUGAGAUUGUAGUAAUCACAUAAAUCAAAACAAUACAUCUUAUUUGUUUACAAUAUAUUUAUGGUAAAUAAAUUAAAAUAAUCAUUUCAUUUAUUUUAUAUGGUAUAUAAUUUUAUUUCAAAGAUAUUGACAUAAAUAUAUAGUAUAUUUUAAUAUAAAUAUUUAUUAUUGAGGCUUCCUACUAAUAUAGUUUUAUUAACUUUUGUAUAUUUAAUGUAACAAAAAAAUUUAAACCAUUAAUCUCAAAUUUUUGGAUAUGUUAAUCAUAUAUAUGUUAAUCAUAUUAGUUAAUUCUGUAGCUUUUAUUUAAGAAAAUAAUAUAUGUUUUUUAUAUUUUAGGUUAAUAUAAUAUUUUCUAUUAAUUGGAUUUUGGACCAAUAUUUUUUUUCAAUUGAUUCUUAAUAUGUCAUGUAAUUACAGGUUAAAUUUUUUUAAAUGUUUCUCUAUUAAUAUAUAGAGGAUUAUCAUAAAUAAAACAAUAUCGGAGAACCCGAACCGUCAAUUUGUCUUCGUCUUCACGGUGGACUCCAUGUCUUAUGGAUACAGAGCUGUCCUGAAACAUCGUCACGAGUUGCUCUAAAUGAGGUGACUUGACUUAAACCAGAAUGUACUAAUUAAGAUGGGCUUUUUGCAAAAGUGACUCAAAACUUGAAGUCAAACAGAAAACUAACCUUUUCUUUUGACUCUUUUUUUUUUGAGAUUUUAACCCCACACCUGCAUUUUAUCUACGAAAAUGCCAUUAACAUUUUUUUUUUUUUUAAAAAUGGCUUCUUUACUGUCUCAACCUCAUCUUCUUCAAGUAUUUACAAUAUUGCCACUGCAAUGAAUAGUGGCAACAACCUUGUACGAACUGUUUGGAGCUUUUAAUGCCCUUUAAUGCACGUAAAUCUCUUUACACUCUCUCUGUUUCAAUUGUUAUGAACUAAAAACAACAUUUCUUUCACUUUCUCUCUAUAUUCAUCCAAAAAACUCAAGCUUUUGAUUCAAAAUAUGGGCUAUGGUUGACAGAGCCAUAUUUCUUUCGUUUUGACUUACGGUUGCUUUCGUUUGAGGUUCUGGGUGGUUGGAGAAGACCCUGUGUGCAAACGAAGUCAUCUCACCUAGUUUAAGGUACGAAUUUGAAUUUUUUUUCAAGAUCUGUUCGCGUAGAAGACUUACUAGUAAGUCAUCUGUAUGUAGAAGACUUACUGAUGAGUCUUCUGGUCAAACGGACGACUUAAAUUAAGUCGUCCAGCUUUGUUUGUUAAAAAAAAACACUCCAGACGACUUAUAUAUACGUCGUCUACGAGAAACGGGCUAGUUUUGCAUUUGACCGAAUCGUGUCAGAUCUUUGACUAUUUCUGGACGACUUAUAAUUCAGUCGUCUCUGGGAAAGUUAAAAUUUCAAUAUUUUAUGAAAACUUGACGACUUACGUGUAAGUCGUCCUAGGUUAGUUUUGUAAUUGAAAAAUAAAACUUCAUAAUUUAACUUUAACCAGACGACUUAAUAUAAAGUCGUCCCUCCAGAAGACUUAAUUUAAAGUCGUCCGGGGAAAGCAAAGUCGUCCAGAAUUUUUCCCAAUUUUCUGGUCAAACCUUGCUUAUCCCGGACGACCUUAAAUUAAGUCGUUUAGCUGGACGACUUUCAUCUAAGUCGUCUGGAGAAAGUUAAAUUUCAAGUUUUAUUUUUCAAUUACAAAACUAACCUAGGACGACUUACACGUAAGUCGUCAAGUUUUCAUAAAAUAUUGAAAUUUUAACUUUCCCAGAGACGACUGAAUUAUAAGUCGUCCAGAAAUAGUCAAAGAUCUGACACGAUUCGGUCAAAUGCAAAACUAGCCCGUUUCUCGUAGACGACUUAUAUAUAAGUCGUCUGAAGUUUUUUUUUUAACAAACAAAGCCGGACGACUUAGAAUUAAGUCGUCCCUUUUAAUUUUCAAUUGCAAAAGUGACCUCUUUAGACGACUUACCUUUAAGUCUUCUGGACGACUUAAUGCUAAGUCGUCUGCGGCAAUGUUUAUUGAACUUCUUCAUUUUCUCUAUGUUUACUAAUGUGUUUUAUUUUGAAUAUUUGCAGAUGAUUUUUCAGUUACAUGCAGUGUAUGGAGAAUGGUUGUUGAGAGAUUUCCGUUGGGAUUUUGUGGUUGAUGAUCUCAAAGGAGCAAGAUUGUUUUUAUUGAAUGAAGAUUCAACACAUGCUGAACUUGUUGCAAUGGCUCAAGAAGAUUAUAACCUGGACAUGAGAACAGUGAGUGUGGAGAUUAGCUACUCAUUACCAGCAGAAAUGAUGAUGGCUCCAGGCAGUCUUCCCAUUCAUGUUACAAGUGAUAGACAAGUUCGAAACUUGCUGGAGAUACUCAAAACCCAUAGAGUAUGUCUUUGUGUAUCAAGCCGCAGCAAGGUCGAAACGGUUUCAGAGAAAAGGGAUAUUGAUGAAGCUGGUGAAUGGGAAAAAGAUGUUGGUGAUAAUGAUGAAGCUGGUGAAUGGGAAGAAGAUGUUGGUGAUGAUGAUGAAGCUGGUGAAUGGGAAGAAGAUGUUGGUGAUGAUGAUGAAGCUGAUGAAUGUUUUGAAGAUGUUGGUGAUAAUGAGUUUGUUGAAGAUGAAAAUCAAGAUGGGGAGGAGGAAAAUGGGGAGGAGGAUGCUGAUAAUUCUAUUGUUGGUGAAACGGAUCAGAAUGGUGGGGAUUACAGUCUUUAUGGAAAGGUUCCAGAUGAGGACGAGGAAGAUGAUGAUAAUAUUUGUUUUGAAGAAAUCCAAAAGACAUAUGCUAAGACAAAUGCUAUUGAAGGAGGAAAAUCGAAUGGUACCAGUAUCUAUGUCAACCAGAGUUUUGUUAGCAAGGGUGCACUGCUUUCAGAGCUGCGGUUGGCAGCAGUGAGGGGUAAGUUUUCUUUCAGAUUAUACAAAUCAACGAAAACUCUCGUUGUGGCAACAUGUCCGGUUAGCUAUUGUGGAUGGAAGGUCAGAGCGAGUGUCAAACAUGGGACAAACACGUUUUGGGUAACAAAGUAUGUGGAAAAACAUUUAUGCUCAGCGGGAGACCGAAUCGCUCAGCGGAGACACUGUACUCCGAAGUAUGUAGGUAGUCUUUUCAUUGAUCGUGUUGGAAUCAUUGAUGGGAUAACUCCGCAGCAUAUCACUGAUGCAAUGAGGAACAUGUUUGGCAUGGCGCUUGAUUACACCACUUCAUACAGAGCACUGUUAUAUGCACAAAGAUUGGUGAGAGGAUCAGCAGAAGAAGGGUAUUCGCGUCUGGCAUCAUAUCUCGAGCAAAUCUCCAUUGCAAAUCCUGAUUCUAUCACGGCGAUAGAACUUGAUUCUAUGAAAAGAUUUAAGUAUCUAUUUCUCUCUUUUGGAGCUUCUAUCAAAGGUUUUAAGUAUCAGAGAAGGGUCAUUGUGGUGGAUGGAACUCACCUAAGUGGAAAGUAUGGAGGAACUAUGUUAGUUGCAGCCGCACAAGAUGGCAAUUUUCAGAUAUUCCCAUUGGCUUUUGGGAUCGUGGAUGAGGAAGAUAUACCUUCUUGGGAAUGGUUUUUCACAAAAUUGGCUAGUUGUAUAUCUCAUGACAAGCCUCUGGUGAUAGUCUCCGACCGGCACAAGGCCAUUAAAAGUGCGUGUGAUAAGGUGUUUCCUUGGGCAACCCGAGGAAUAUGUUAUUAUCACCUUCAAGAUAACAUUGUCAAAAAGUUUAAAGGGAAACAUCUCAUGUACUUGGUGAAAGGGGCUGCUUAUGCUCACACGGUUUACGAUUUUGACCGGUACAUGGCUGAGAUACGGAGUGCAAACCCGGAACUUGCAACGUAUUUGGAGAAAGCCGACGUCAGGCUAUGGUCAAGGGUUUAUUGUAAGGGGAACAGGUUCAACAUAAAAACAAGCAACAUUGCUGAAUCUAUUAAUUCCGCACUGAAGCGAGCAAGAGGAUUUCCGAUUACGUUCCUGCUGGAGUUCAUAAGGCAGAAGUUAGGAAAAUGGUAUUGGAAAAGGAGACAAGAUGCUUUGAGUCUCACAACUGAACAUAGCGGGGGUGUUGAAUACUUGCUUGCUGUUCGAGAAGAGAUAGCGGGUACGAUGACGGUCGAACCAAUUGAUGGAUGGCAUUUCUUUGUCAAAGGUGGCAAAAUGGACUGUGUGGUUGAUUUGGAACAUGCAAAGUGUGAUUGUGGUGUCUAUGGAGUGGAGAAAAUACCUUGCUCUCAUGCUAUAGCUGCUGGAAUACAUGCUGGUUUGCAUAUCUCCACACUUGUAUGUCCACUGUACUCAAAGAAUUAUCUGUAUGCAGGAUACUCAGAGAAUAUAUAUCCUAUCGUGUCACAACAUAUUGAGGAACGAGAAUGCUUUCCUCCAGAACUAAAGCGUGGUCGGGGGAGACCGAAGAAAUCAAGAUGGCAAUCUUGGUUGGAGCUAUCUAGGAUGAGAGGACACAAACCCAGGAAGAAACACAGGGCACGGAGAUGCUCAAACUGCAAGGAAACUGGCCAUACGAAACCACAAUGUACACAACCAGUUGACUAGUUGUCCAGACGACCUAAAUUUAAGUCGUCCAGUCUUGAUUACCCGUCCAGACGACUAAAUUUUUAGUCGUCCAGUGUAUUUUAUUUUUAGACGACCUUCUACUAAGUCGUCCAGUGUAUUUUAUUUUUAGACGACCUUCUACUAAGUCGUCCAGUGUAUUUUAUUUUUAGACGACCUUCUACUAUCCCUUCAAGUGUAUUUUAUUUUUAGACUACCUUCUACUAUCCCUUCAAGUCGUCCAAACCUUCUAGACGACUUAUUUGUAAGUCGUCCAGUUGGAAAACCUUCCAGACGACUUAUAAUAAGUCGUCCAAACCUUCUAGACGACUUAUUUGUAAGUCGUCCAGUUGGAAAACCUUCCAGACGACUUAUUUCUUCCAGACAACUUAUAUAUUUACAAAUCUAUACAAAGACAAGCUGAAAUACAAAUACUUCGCUCGUUAAAAAAUCAUGUUCAAAUACAAAGACAAGUUCAAAUACAAACACAAAUCUAAUCAUACAUGCCCACGAACUUAUCACCAUCCACAUUUUCUUUCAGAUGCUGAUCAACAAGCUCCUUCCAUAUAUCCACCGCCAUAUUAUCCCUCAUUUUCUUCGCGUUGCACCUAGCAAAGUCUUUAGGGUCAAAGGAGACCCCAAGAGCAUGACAUUCAAUGUACUUUACAGCGUACACGCCACAAUCACCAUUGUUGGCCGUGGGUACACCUUUCAGCGGUCUCUCAUAUGUGUAUGGCUCCAACCCGUAUUUGACCCGUAUUUCGUCGGUGGCUGCGCACUCAACAAGCAGAUAAGGGACCAUCUGGAGAAAAGGCUCCAUUAUCGCAUCCCAUGCGUCUGGUACACUAGAUGAAGGUAUGCUGUCCCAGACGACUAUGUGCCUCUUAGGGAUCGAUAUCCAAAUAGCAACCCAAUGCUUGUCGUCCAAGUUCACUGGCGCAUAGAUAUCAUCAAUGUCCUCCCCCCACUUCUUGUUUGAUUGGCAAAAUGAAGGUAUUGAUCCGUCAUAAAAAUUCGACGCCCCACCAGGUAGAACUCUUCCUAAACCUUUGUGAUCAGGUUCCGAUGUUUUGAAGAGCUGAUACUGCUCUCUCCAAGACUGGGAAAAGUUGUGAUCCAGGAAGCACAUUCGCUCGCUCCUGAAAGCUUGUGGGUUCUCCUGAUACCUCUGCCUUAGCACAUUAAUCCAAGCAUCUAUAUGCUGCAUAUUAAAUAUAACAAGUUAGAAGUUACCAGACGACUUAAAUAUAAGUCGUCUACGUGGUCGUCCAAGUAGACGACUUUCCAGACGAUUUAUCUUUAAGUCGUCUGGAAAGUAGUCUACUUGGACGACUUUGUAGACGACUUAAAUCGUGUGCAGAAGACUUACGCAGUCUUCCAGCCAUCCUCUGGCUGUCCGGAGGAAGUGGUACCACCUUGUUGGUGAUGUACGUGGUUUGUCCUCGGUCUUAGUUAAAUAAUGACUGCAAACAAAAAAGCAAUCAGUUUUGGACGACUAAAUCAAGCUAUUAUGGGUAAAGCAAUCACUUACGGAUCAGUUUUCAACCAAUCAGCGAGUUCCUUCAACUUAUCUUUGUUUACUGGCGGAAAUGGAUUAUAGGCUGCCACUUUAUCUUUUUUUUUCUCUGCCGUAUAAGGAGAUCUCACAGUGGGAGCAGGUUUCUUCGCUCGUUUACUCUUUGCACGCUUGUCCAAUACAACCAGGCUCGGUUCUGAAACUGGAUCGCUUGGCUCGGUGGAAGCGAGGCUCGGUUGUUGAUCGGUGGAAGCGAGGCUCGGUUGGUGAUCGGUGGAAGUGACAGCAACAAUCUCUUUGGAGGUGACACCAUCUGCUUUAUCCUCCGGCAAGAUCUUAUUUACCGAGUUCGCCUCGGUUGCUGUAUCCUCCGGCAACCAUCUCUGCAAUAAAAGUUGCACACAAGUUAACCCUGGACGACUUAAAUAAAAGUUGUCUGGACGACUAGUUGACCCUGGACGACUUAAAUAUAAAUCGUCUGGACGACUAGUUGACCCUGGACGACUUAAAAUUAAGUCUUCCGUGGUCAACUAGUCGUCCAGACAACUUACGUUUAAGUCGUCCAGGGUCAACUAGUCGUCCAGACAACUUUUACAGUCGUCUGGACAACUAGUUAACCCUGGAUUUGAUACUAACCUCUUUGAUUUGAGGAGGCUGUUUCUUUUGAGGAGGAGGCUGUUUCUUUUGAGGAGGAGGAGGCUGCUGCUGUUUCUUUUGAGGAGGAGGAGGCUGCUGUUUGGUUUGAUGAGGAGGAGGCUGGUUACUAACCACGGUUUCAUUGGCAUGAGGGGUAGCCUGUUUGUUUCUACCCCCGGUUUCUUUGGCAAGAGGGGUAGGCUGUUUAUCUUGAGGGGUAGCCUGAUUGGUUAGAGGUGGAGGGGUAGCCUGAUUGGUGACACCAACCUUCUUCUCCACAGCUUCCAAUCUAUCAGACAACUUCCUAAACUCCCUCAUGCACUUAUUAAACCCUUUUUUCAUACAGUCAGCUACGCCCUUGAACAUAAUUUCCAACUCCUCUCUGGUCACCCCUCUAGCCUCUUCUCUAGCCUCUUCUCUAGCCUCUUCAGGAGCCUCUUUACGAGCUUUCUUCCGAGGUCUUGGAUUGUCUUCCUCCUCCUCCUCCUCCUCCUCCAACACAACCAUCUCUUUGGCCUUCUUCGAUGGAGUCACAACCUUAGGUUUUGUAUUGACCUUAGUACCAGUGACUUCCCAGCAAUCCAUGGUCCACUUCCACGGUCUCCGCUCAUACAUGACUUUAAUGAUGUUCUCCGCGGGCAGGUCCUCAACCUCAGAGUCCCAUUUUGGCCACAUUUCACUAAUGUCCUUCUCAACAAAGUUGAUCACGCGGGUCUGCAGUAAAUAGAAGAAUCGAGUUAGAUAUUUGAAAAAAAAUACUAAAUAGACGACUUAAUUAUAAGUCGUCUACUAAGUCGUCCAGCUGGAAGACCUUCCAGACGACUUAUAAUAAGUCGUCUAAUAAGUCGUCCAGAUGGAAGACUUUCCAGACGACUUAAUUAAGUCGUCCGAUAAGUCGUCCAGCUGGGAAGACUUUCCAGACGCCUUAUUAUAAGUCGUCUAAUAAGUCGUCCAGAUGGAAGACCUUCCAGACGACUUAUAAUAAGUCGUCUAAUAAGUCGUCCAGAUGGAAGACUUUCCAGACGACUUAAUUAAGUCGUCCGAUAAGUCGUCCAGCUGGGAAGACUUUCCAGACGCCUUAUUAUAAGUCGUCUAAUAAGUCGUCCAGAUGGAAGACUUUCCAGACGACUUAAUUAAGUCGUCCGAUAAGUCGUCCAGCUGGGAAGACUUUCCAGACGACUUAUUAUAAGUCGUCUAAUAAGUCGUCCAGAUGGAAGACUUUCCAGACGACUUAAUUAAGUCGUCCGAUAAGUCGUCCAGCUGGGAAGACUUUCCAGACGACUUAUUAUAAGUCGUCCAAUAAGUCGUCCAGAUGGAAGACCUUCCAGACGACUUAUAAUAAGUCGUCUAAUAAGUCGUCCAGAUGGAAGACUUUCCAGACGACUUAAUUAAGUCGUCCGAUAAGUCGUCCAGCUGGGAAGACUUUCCAGACGCCUUAUUAUAAGUCGUCUAAUAAGUCGUCCAGAUGGAAGACCUUCCAGACGACUUAUAAUAAGUCGUCUAAUAAGUCGUCCAGAUGGAAGACUUUCCAGACGACUUAAUUAAGUCGUCCGAUAAGUCGUCCAGCUGGGAAGACUUUCCAGACGCCUUAUUAUAAGUCGUCUAAUAAGUCGUCCAGAUGGAAGACCUUCCAGACGACUUAUAAUAAGUCGUCUAAUAAGUCGUCCAGAUGGAAGACUUUCCAGACGACUUAAUUAAGUCGUCCGAUAAGUCGUCCAGCUGGGAAGACUUUCCAGACGCCUUAUUAUAAGUCGUCUAAUAAGUCGUCCAGAUGGAAGACUUUCCAGACGACUUAUAAUAAGUCGUCUAAUAAGUCGUCCAGAUGGAAGACUUUCCAGACGACUUAAUUAAGUCGUCCGAUAAGUCGUCCAGCUGGGAAGACUUUCCAGACGCCUUAUUAUAAGUCGUCUAAUAAGUCGUCCAGAUGGAAGACUUUCCAGACGACUUAAUUAAGUCGUCCGAUAAGUCGUCCAGCUGGGAAGACUUUCCAGACGACUUAUUAUAAGUCGUCCGAUAAGUCGUCAAGCUGGACGACCUUCCAGACGACUUAUAAUAAGUCGUCUGCGCAGUCUUUUGGAUUGAAGUAAAUACCUGACUCAAGAUAGCAGCUUUCAUUGAUCUGCGGCCUCUGCUGCCCUCGUAAGCCAGUAUCGGUGGAGACGGACUGUCUGCUCUGGGACCACCAAUACUAGCACCCAAUUCCGGCAUAGCUGUGUACGUCCAGACUUGAAGAACUUGUAUAAACCCAUCCACGGUGUAACAGCCAGCAAUUUCUUUGUUCCACAAAGAGUCCAUCAGCACCUUAAACGCGACUCUCCCCCAUGGAUAAUUCUCAAACCGUUCUAAAUCCAUCACUAGCCUUGCCAGAGUAGAUCGUGUAGCGGUUGAAAACUUUCUCCCUUCAAUGAAUCCAGUGAAGAUGGAGAGGUACGCGAGCCGCUUGCGAUCUUCCCUGGACCAAUCCCCGCAUCUCUUCAGUGCUGCUAUUAUCUGAUCAGUAGUUGGCCCAGCUUCCAGAUGAACUCCCAGCAUCCCCCAGAAAGAAACCAUCUCUGGGGUAACGUCACAUUUUGGUGUCUCAAGGUCCUCGAUGUACUCGCAGUUUAGACCAGUGAGGUUUUCAAACUCUAACAGUGAAAACCUCAAAGGUUCUGGACCAACGAGAGACCACAUCUCAUACUUCUUCUUAAUGUCCAGCUUGAAACUGAGCAUGUAGUGAACCAGCCUUGAAGCCCAACCAAAUCCCUGCUCCUUGAACUUGAUGAAAACUCCCAAACUCGACUCCUUGAGCUCUUCAAAUUCGUCAUCAGUAAGAGCUUUCCUAAGAGCAGUAUGCAACUUGCUGUUAUCCGUAUGAUACGAAAUGCUAUUGUGGGCUUCUGGCUCUUCCCCUGAUGUGUAUAACCUACGGGGGAGUUCUGGAAUAUCCAUCCUUUUUGUCUGCAAAAUAAUCAAAGACAACAAUAUAAGUCCAGACGACUUAGUAGACGACUUAAAUUUAAGUCGUCUGGAAAGUCUUCCAAAUGGACGACUUAUAUUUAAGUCAUCUACUAAGUCGUCCAGUUGGAAGACAAAGCCGGACGACUUAAAUUACUUACAAGUCUUCCAGUCGCAGAAGGAGUUGGAGUACUCGUCAUUGCGGUUAUAGAUCUGAAAAAAUAAACGUGAAACGGUGAGAAUGAGUAAAUUGAUAGAGACAACGUUUUAUGUUCAUCUUUUCCUCGAGAUUGAUGACUUAGCGGCGUUAGGGUUUACAGAGAAACGGCGCUAAGGUUUACAGAGAAGAAGCGGCGGCGCUAGGGUUUAGAAGAAGCGGCGGCGCUAGUGUUUAGAGGAAGCGGCGGUGAGAACGUUGGUGACCACGGUGGCGAGGGCGACGGUUUGUUCGGAAAUAGUGGAAGCGGCGGCGCUAGGGUUUAGAGGAAUCGGCGGCGCUAGGGUUAGAAGAAGCUGCGGCGACAACGGUGAGAAUGAAGUGAGAUAGAUAGCCGACGUUGAGAACGAUGGUUUGUUCGGAAAUCGUGGGAAUUCGAAAUCGCCUUUGAGAGAGAACUGUUAGGGUUUCUGAAUUUCGUGAAAAAUGAAACAAAAAAAAUAAAAAUCACCUUAUAUAUUGGGUAAAUAAUCCGGUUAGCUUUAAAAUUACAUUGGUAAACUUUAAGGUUUGGUCCGGUUUAGACGACUUAUUCUGGCUGAUAAUGUACAACAGACGACUUAAUAUUUAGUCGUCUGUUUUCAGACGACAAAAUAUUAAGUCGUCCUAGACCCUAAAAUGAACCCCUAAACUAAAAUGACUAGAUUAACUAACUAACCACGUUAUAAAAUCAAAUUAUACUUAAAUAGUGUUUACUAUACACAGAAAUGAACACGCAUAAGUAAUUUUAAAAAUUUUCAAAAACGGUUUUAAUGCUUUCCAAAAUCUAACCCUAAGAACACAUACAAUACUACAACAUAUGUUGAUGAAACAUAAACUAAAGAAUAUCAUGACUCACUACUUUCACUCAUCUAUGCUGAAAACAAUUGAAAUUUGUUAUAUCUUAAUUUAUACCUCCUAAGACAUAUGUUAAUUACAUAAUUCCCAUUUUUCACUUAUCAAAAUAUUUUUUACAAAAUUUUUAAAUUAUGUUUAAGACUAACUGUCCAGACGACUUUCAGUUAAGUCGUCUGGACGACUUAUUUUCAAGUCGUCUAAACAGACGACUUGCGAGGGGUAGAAACGUAAAAAAAAUUCCGUUUUUUUGUUUGGUCACAAGGGGAUAGUUGUAAUUUCAAUAGCCUUUUAGGUUACUUUUGCCUUUGACCCAAGUUGGGUAUUGUUUUGGGUUUGACUCCAAGUUUUGAGUCACACUUGGCAAUUCUCCCAAUUAUUCAAUAGCCUUUUAGGUUACUUUUGCCUUUGACCCAAGUUGGGGUAUUGUUUUGGGUUUGACUCCAAGUUUUGAGUCACACUUGGCAAUUCUCCCUUAUUAAUUAGAAGGUUAGUGUAUGUGGCUUUCUUCAAUCUUUCAAUAUCAAAAUGAAAUAGUAUGUAUUUCGAAUUUAUUUCAAGAAUGUUAAACUAAAAUGUGAAUCACUGUGUACUUUCGGUUUGUAAUCAUUUAUAGUCGGUUUGUGGUCGAUUUGAUUUCCAUAGAACCGGACGAGAGGGAUAAAUUUAUGGUCAGUUUUACUAAUUAUUACAAGACAAUUAAAAAUAUGUUAUGAAAAAAUAUUGUGAUAGACUGAUAUGGUAAGUUAAAUUCAAUUUAUAAUAUCUUAGGUUUAAUUUGAUUUAUGAUUUGAAAUUUUGUGACCAAAUCUGUGAUUUUGUCCUUAUAUUCUCAUUGAUACUAUCCUUUCAAUUAGUGGUUGUCGAUACUAUGUUGCCAAAUAUGUAAACGAAAUUGUUAUUAAAUAUUUAUGUUUUCACAUAGAUUUAACACACUAAAUAUACGGUUUCUGUGAUGGCUGCUAAUAAAUUAUAGUUAACCAUAAAUCUUUAUCGCAUUAAGUGUCGACAGAACUGUAAGACUUUAUUCAAAUAUCAAUGUUAAUACUCUACUACUAAGGGCAUACGAAACCCUAAUUUAUUAACUAUAAUAUAUAAUAUAUUCAUGUCACAUAACAAAACAUCACAACUUCACUUAAACUUAUCUAAUUCCGGCAAUUUCUCUUAUAAAGUUUAGACAUACCCAUAAAUAAAUAAAAUAUUUGUUCAUACAAAAUUGAAUACCAAAUUAAUUUGAUAAGGGCCAAAAAUAUUUUGCAUCCUUAAAUAUAAAAUUUAUAUUUUAAUACAAUAUUUGUUAACUAUUGUUCAUAUAAAUUCACCAUGCGCAAAAUGCAGGUUUCAUCCUAGUUAUUAUAAAAACUCAUUCGCGCAUACGCGCGGCUUAUCAUCUAUCGUCUUUUAUUUAAGGAACAGUGGAAAUAUUAAAUACCAACUUUGCGAUAUUAUCACUGAAAUUAGAUUUCUUCUCAAAUAGAGAUUAUAUUUCAUCAAGAUUCAAGAGGACCAACAUGUUAGGAAAUAUGCGAUCAAAUUUUGCGGAAAACCAGAAUUUGCGGAAUUUAGGGGAGCGGGAAAACACACACAAAAUUGUUAACGGAGUUCGGCCAGCUUUUGCCUACGUCUCCGGACCUGCUACAGAUCUUUUAUUAUCAACCCGGGAAAUUUUUACAAGCUCUCAACUCACACCCGACCCCAAAUACACUCAAGAAAUUACACUUAAUUUCUUAUAGAGAAAGAUUUUCUCACAAGAAAGAUUUUUUUUUUUUCUCUCUCUUGCUCACUCUCUUCUUCUCUUGUUUUCUCUUUGUUUUUGGGAUGGAUUUCUUCUUCUCCUUGUGUGGUUAUUUAUAGGAGAUUAUGGGGAGUUGGUGAAACUUCUUGUUGCACCUACCAAAAACACAAAAGAAAUGUGUUGUUGAAUUAAUCAACAAACAUGUUCUUGAUACAACUUCUUGUUGUACCUACCAAAAAAACAUGUUCUUUACAAUCUCCCACUUGAAGACUGAUUUUAAUCUGUCUUCACACCUUGAUCAAUGUAGCAGGUCUUCCCAGCUUGUUACUCCAACAAGCCAACUGAGGUUGCACACAACCUCAGCUUGUCAUACGGCACGACCUUCGUCAACAUGUCUGCCGGAUUCUUGCUUCCUGGGAUCUUCUCAAGCACCAACAUUUCAUCUUCUAACGCUGAUCUGAUGAAAUGAUAUCGACGAUGUAUGUGCUUUGUCCGAGCAUGGUAAACCGGAUUCUUUGCCAAAUCGAUGGCACUUUUACUGUCACAGUACAACACACCUUUCCCUUGGUCAUGGCCUAGCUCUUCUAGAAAAGACUGUAGCCAUAUCAUCUCUUUUGUUGCCUCCGUUACAGCAACAUACUCAGCUUCACAGCUUGAUAGAGAUACAAUUUUCUGCAACUUUGAAACCCAACAAAUUGCAGUACCGCCAAAGGUGUAGACAUACCCGGUUGUGCUCUUCGUGCUGUCAAUGUCACCUCCAUUGUCAGCAUCAACAUAUCCCUGCAAUCCCGUCUUAGACUUCGUGAAACAUAGCGAUAAACUUGGAUUUCCUUUUAGAUAUCUGAAAAUCCACUUAACGGCUUCCCAAUGUUCCUUCCCUGGAUUGCUCAUAAAUCUGCUAACGACUCCCACUGCAUGUGCAAUGUCUGGCCUUGUACAUAUCAUCGCGUACAUCAGGCUUCCUAUAGCAGAAGCAUAUGGAACUUUAUCCAUACAUGCCAUCUCGUCUUCCGUCUUUGGAGACUGUUCUCUGGAUAACCGAAAGUGACUUGCCAGGGGAGUACUAACUGGCUUCGCGUCAUCCAUGUUAAACCUCUUGAGGACUUUCUUCACAUACUCCUCUUGUGAUAGCUUAAGACCUUCCUUGCUCCUACUGAUUCUCAUCCCUAGAAUCUGUCUUGCUUCUCCAAGGUCUUUCAUCGCAAACUCUUCUGAGAGUUUCGUCUUCAAGCUAUUGAUCUCGUGCAAGUCUGCUCCUACUAUCAGCAUGUCAUCGACAUAUAGGAGCAAUAUCAAGUAGGACUCUUCAAGCGUCUUGAAGUAACAACAGUGGUCAGCUUCACACCUCAAGAAACCAACGCCUUUAAUAAAGUUGUCGAACCGUUUAUACCACUGUCUUGGAGCUUGUUUUAAGCCGUACAAACUCCUUUUCAGCUUGCAAACAAGGCUUUCCUUCCCUUUGAUCUCAAAGCCUUCGGGUUGCUUCAUAUAAAUUUCCUCAUCCAAAUCACCGUGAAGAAAUGCCGUCUUCACAUCCAUCUGUUGAAGAUGCAGAUCUUCUUGUGCUACCAGCCCAAGAACCGUUCUAAUGGUCACCAUCUUGACUACAGGAGAGAAGAUUUCGGUGUAGUCAACGCCUUCUUUUUGUUGGAAUCCCUUCACAACAAGCCUCGCUUUAUAGCGCUUACUCCCAUCAGGUUCUUCUUUUAUUCGGUAGACCCACUUGUUAUGCAAUGCCUUUUUCUCCUUAGGCAAAUCUGCUAACUCCCACGUGUGAUUGGAUAACAACGAGUCCAUCUCGUCGUUCAUUGCAAGCUCCCACUUGAUCGACUCAUCAACUUGCAUAGCUUCCUCAUAACAUUCAGGCUCGCCUCUGUCUGUGAGCAGAAUGUAGUUGAGCGAUGGAGAGAAUCUUACUGGCUUUCUGAUGAUUCUGCUUGACCGUCGUAACUCCGUGACUGGUGUAUAUGGGACCACUUCAGAAUCAUCACUUUCUUCAGCCUCACCACUCUCGUCUUGAGAGAUUUCUUCUUCUGCUGUUGCGGUAUCCUGUGGCAACUCCGGUGUCAGGAUAUCUUCUAAGUCAACAGCUCCAGGCUCUUUCUUCUCCGAGCCUUCUCUUAGCUUAUCCUUGUACAACGCUUCUUCGUUGAACACAACAUUCUUGCUGCGGAUGAUCUUCCGAUUUUCAUCAUCCCAAAACCGGUAACCAAACUCCGCGUUACCAUAACCGAUGAAGUAACACUUCUUAGACUUCGAGUCAAGUUUACUUCUUGCAGCAUCAUCAAUAUGAACAUAAGCUAAGCAUCCGAACACCUUUAGAUAAGAAAGAUUUACUUUCUUUCCGCUCCAAACUUCUUCAGGGAUCUUAAAUCCCAACGGUACAGACGGUCCUCUGUUUAUUAAGAAGGCUGCGGUAUUGAUUGCAUCUGCCCAAAACGUCUUUGGCAAUCCACAGUGCAAUCUCAUGCUCCUUGCACGCUCAUUCAAGGUUCGGUUCAUCCUUUCCGCUAUUCCAUUCUGUUGAGGCGUUCCAGGAAUAGUCUUCUCCAUCUUGAUCCCAUUAUCAGCGCAAUAUCUCUUGAACUCGUCGCUGAUGUACUCUCCACCAUUAUCAGACCUUAAACACUUCAACUUGAGAUUCGUCUCAAUCUCAACCAUGGCUUUCCAUAUUUUGAAAACCGAAAACACUUCAUGUUUGUUCUUCAUGAAGUAGACCCACACUUUUCUUGUGGAGUCAUCAAUAAAGGUCACAUAGUAGUACGAACCUCCCAGCGAUGCAACAGGAGCGGGUCCCCACACGUCAGUGUGCACCAGCUCUAACUUCUCAGAUUUUGGCUCUCUUCCUCCUUUAGAGAAACUAACUCGUUUCUGUUUCCCAAGGAUGCAACUUUCACACAUCUGAUGAUCCACCGUCUUCAGAUCCGGAAGAGCACCAUUUUCCACCAUGAGUUUCAUCCCUUUCUCACUCAUGUGUCCCAACCUACAAUGCCACAACUUGGUCUGUUUGGCAUUCUCGACAACAGCAACAGUGUCUUGAUAACUCGUCGUCAUAUAAAGAGUGCCUCUUUUAUGACCUCUAGCCACCACCAUGGAACCUUUCUUGACUCUCCAGGCUCCACCACCAAAAUUAACAUCGUGCCCCGUAUCAUCAAGUUGACCUACUGAAAUCAGAUUUCGCAUCAACUUUGGCACAUGUCUGACCUUCGUAAUCUUCCACACACGUCCGUCUGACAUUUUCAGGUUGAUAUCUCCAAUACCAACUAUGUCCAAAGGUAAUCCAUCAGCAAGAUAUACCUUUCCGUAAUUUCCCGCAACAUAAUUCUCCAUAAUGUUAUGGUGCGGUGUGGUGUGGAAUGACGCUCCUGAGUCAAGAACCCAUGAAUCGACUGGGCUAUCAACAUAGGAUAUUGAUGCUUUGGUGGUACUUGUAGCUGCAUCACGAGCUUCAAUUUUCCUCGGGGAAUCAACAGACACUACCAAUGCAUCAGCGAUUUCACGUGUCACUGCAUUGGCUCCGCCUCUAGUGUUGUCUUCCUUCUUCGGUGGUGCUCGGCAAUUCUUCUUGAUGUGACCUGUCUUUCCACAAUUCCAGCACUCUGCAGGCUGUCUGAAUUUGGACUGACCCCGUCCAUUCCUUGACUUCGAUCUGCCAUUACUCCGGUUAUUUCUAUCUGGGUUUCUCCCUCUGUUUUCCACGUUGAAAGCAGAGCUCGUUGAUGCCUCCCCAGAGUCUAUCCUUCGAACUUCCUCACCAAGGAUACGAUCUCUAACAUCAUUGAAUUUGAGCUUUUGAGUACCCACAGAAUUACUAACCGCUGCCCUCAUCGGCUCCCAACUAUUUGGCAGAGAUGCCAACAAAAUCAGUGCUCGCACUUCAUCAUCAAACUCGAUUUCAACCGAUGACAGUUGGUUGACAAUCGUGUUGAACUCGUUCACAUGUGCGGCAACCAGGCCACCUUCUUCCAUCUUCAAAUGAAAGAGUUUCUUCAUGAGAAAUACCUUAUUGUUUGCCGAAGGUUUCUCAUACAUGUCAGAGAGAACUUUCAUGAGCCCUUCCGUGGUCUUCUCCUUCGCAACGUUGUGAGCAACGUUUUUCGACAGUGUUAACCUUAUAACACCCAGAACUUGUCUGUCAAGGAGCUCCCACUCAUCCUGAUCCAUCUUCUCAGGCUUCUUGCUCAGCGGUUGAUGAAGCUUCUUUCCGUACAGAUAAUCUUCAAUUUGCAUUCUCCAAAAUGCAUAAUCUGUACCGUCAAAUUUCCCGAUACUAUGCGCCAAACCGUCUUCGCCUCCCAUCGUUUCUGGAACCACCGUGUAUUAGAACACCUUCGUCGACAAACCGAUGUUACUGACAAAAUUCACUACUCACGAAGUACUGUUCACGUGAAUAGUAACCCCACAAAAAAUUUGACCGAUCACCGUAACUCAGGCUCUGAUACCAGUUGUUAGGAAAUAUGCGGUCAAAUUUUGCGGAAAACCAGAAUUUGCGGAAUUUAGGGGAGCGGGAAAACACACACAAAAUUGUUAACGGAGUUCGGCCAGCUUUUGCCUACGUCUCCGGACCUGCUACAGAUCUUUUAUUAUCAACCCGGAAAAAUUUUACAAGCUCUCAACUCACACCCGACCCCAAAUACACUCAAGAAAUUACACUUAAUUUCUUAUAGAGAAAGAUUUUCUCACAAGAAAGAUUUUUUUUUUUUUCUCUCUCUCUUGCUCACUCUCUUCUUCUCUUGUUUUCUCUUUGUUUUUGGGAUGGAUUUCUUCUUCUCCUUGUGUGGUUAUUUAUAGCAGAUUAUGGGGAGUUGGUGAAACUUCUUGUUGCACCUACCAAAAAACACAAAAGAAAUGUGUUGUUGAAUUAAUCAACAAACAUGUUCUUGAUACAACUUCUUGUUGUACCUACCAAAAAAACAUGUUCUUUACACAACAACCAGUCAUAUAAAAGUAAGCUCACCCCACGAGCUUUCCAAAUUCAUCUAACACAUUAGCCCCUAACAACCAUCCAUGCCUACCACAAUACCAUAUACCUAAACUAAACUAGUGGACGCACAGAGGCACUUCUUUCACUACCAAAGCAAGACUCAAACCAACGCGGAUGUCCAACCGCAACAUACGAUUACAUGAGAGACUAAGGUUGUCGACACUUUGAACAAUGAAAGUUGCUCCUCUGUUCGAGGCCGUAAAGAUUACUUUGACCUCCCACUCCAAAAGAAUUCCUAGUUCUAUACAAAGUUCAGCACCAAAAAAAAAAAAGAAAGAGUUCAGCACCAAUGAAAUUCAAUGCUGGCCAACUAAUUUGAUUAGCAAUAGCACCACCAAACACACCAUUCAAAUUAUAAGCAAAAACCAGCUUCUUUUUUUCAAGUCGUGCAUAUUCUCUAUUGUCUAGCGAAAUACCAAUAUCCGAACUUCCAAACGAUCCUUAGCCAAGGAGAACGCUCUCUUACUAUAUUCCUGCACACAUCCGUUUUCAUCCUUGGUGAUCCAAGUAGCACCAAUUGGAUGAGUAUUUAAACAAUUAGAUCAUCGUUAAUUAGUUGAAAUUAGGAUAGCUUUCUUUUGACUAAUGCUUCAAUGUUCAACCAAAAGAUAAAUAGAAAUAUGCUUACUUUCUCAUUACUUUUUAGAUACAGACAAUUGCCUUAAACUGGUUUAUAUUGGUAGGCCAUAGAUAAAUUUGGUAGAUGGAUAGAAAAGAGUAUGAUUCUAAUAUUUUAUUUCGUGUUAGAUUGUUCUUGUGAAUCACGACUAAGUAACUAGUCGACAAAAUUAUAAUUUGGCAAAUAACAACUUUUUUUGGCGUGGAGUUUUUGGGCCAUGCUCCGAGGAGAAUAAAGUUGAGAGUCUUCAGACUUUUGGACUCCGGUUUUGCACUCAACACCUAUGUGACGCACCUAACAACAGUCUUCCACAGUAAUUGUUUACAACUAAUAUAUUUCCCAUCAAAACCGGACCAAUAUUCUUUGGGUAAUUGUGUUAAUCCAAGUGGCAGGUUUUGUAAAAUAGAAAUUUACAGAUUCUUUUCAGUUUUGUGGCCAGCGUAAUCAAAAACCUGUGACCCUCUAGUGCAUCUUGUCGUCUUUCUUACAUCGAAUAAAUAAAAACUGAAAUAUAGCUCUUACAAAUAAGAAAAGUAAAAGUUAUGAGAAACCUUUUCUACAUAUACAAGCAAAGACCAUAAGAUUUCCUCCUUUAUCUUCGUGACAAAAGUGAACAUAAUGAAAAAGAUUAUUUAAAUCAAGUCAAAUAUUGAUGCUUUUAUUGGAAGUAAAAAAAAAUCGAGAAUACUGGUAAGAGAUAAGAAUCUAUUGAGUGAACAAAUAAAUAUCUAUUUACCCUCUUGUACCUCAGUCUUAACUGUUUUUAAGUUUUGAAAAACUCUCCGAAGCAUGUGCGAUGAAAGACUAUUAUUAUUUCUAUAUUUUACAUUAAAAUAAAGUAUCUCUAUUAUAAAAUUGGAUUUACUCCGAUACUUCAGUGUUACACUAUAAUAGAGUAAAAAAACAACAUUAUUAUAUAUUUCACUUUAUUUAGUGUAACUCUAUUAUAUAGUGAACCAUCGGAAUAAAUCUAAUUCUAUAAUAGAGUUAUUUUAUUUUAGUGUAAAAUAUAGAAAAAAUAAUAGUGUUCCAUUGGAGAUGGUGUAAGACACUUGUUUUUAUUUUUAUUGGCUUAUACAUUUUUGCAUUUUUAAAUCUACUUAUACAAUUAAAAUAUAUAUUUUUUAUUGGUAAAGUAUUUAUAAGAUCUUUCUUAUCAAUAAUGAUGUUGUAAAAACUGACGAAAGUACAAACCAAACACUAGUUUUGCAUGUUUAUCACUUAUCAGGUUAGUUGUGGACUUCAAAACACAAACUAUAAUAUACGGAAAAGUGGAUUUGAUCAAAUUAAUACAUCAAUUAAUCUCACUAAACCAAGUUAAAAAGUCCAUCACACUCUUCCCCCGCGCUGUGUGUGUGUGUGCCUCUCUCUCCCCACCACUCCAUUAUCACUUUCUUUCUCUCUCUCAGAGAGAAGACAAUGCCUAUUUCUGGAGAUCCCUCGUCUUCUUCGACAACAAUCAGACACCAACCCAUGAACUUCCCACCAUUUCCCACCGCCGACGAGCCUCUAAUCCCCAAACCUAGCCGCAUCUAUAAAUCCGCCAUGUCUACCUUCUUCCUCUUACCUUCAUCAUCCAACGAACCCAACAACAGAAGAAAGGGGAAGAAACCAAACCCUUUCACCCAAACGACGUCGUCCUUUCGCAGCCUCGGCUGCACCUCCUCCGCCUCUCAGCGAGUUUCCGUCCCGGCCGUGAUCCGCUCCUCCGCGAAUUGGGACGCGAGUGAUGCCAAAAGCAAGAAGACGAAGAGCAAGGGCUGUAGCUACNNNNN